CAGUCACACUGACAAAAACACCCAAAAGAAUUAUAAAAAAAAGAAACAAAGUAUCUUUCUGACAAAAUCAUCAAAAGAAGCUCGCAGUUUCGUGAAAUCUUGUCUCUUUUCUAACCAUUCCACUAAUUCUCCUCAAUUUCCGUGAAACCCUUCAAAACCCAUUUGGAGAGAGAGAGAGAGAGAGAGAGAGAGAGAGAGUGUGUAAGAAGAAGAGAAUGGGUGUGGAUUUGAGACAAGUGGUGGCUGGAAUUCUCACCAUUACCAUGUUUGUAAUGCUCGGACAAAUGCUUCAUAGAGACUACUUUGAUGCUGUUCAGGAGAAAGUAGAAGGAGAUGCACAUGAUAUUGAGUUCCACGGAUCAAAAGUAGCUCUUGAAGAUGGACUUGUUAGAUCCCGUGAAGGGAUUAAAGGACCUUGGAUGGAAGAUAUCCAUGAACUUAACCUUGUUGGUCAAUAUCUUCAUCUGAUGAAGAAGCGGUAUCAUCAUCAAAGGGUUAUGUUACAUUCUCCUUAACUAAUGGUCCUGAACACCAUAUCUCUCAGAUUACUGAUGCUGUGAUGGUGGCGAAGCAUCUUGGAGCAACUCUCGUGCUUCCUGACAUAAGAGGAAGCAAACCUGGUGAUGAAAUGAACUUUGAAGACAUCUAUGAUGUUGACAAACUCGUUAAAACCCUAGAAAGCGUAGUCAAAGUAGUGAAGAAACUGCCGAGCCACGUAUCUCUAAGAGAUAUCGCCAUCGUUAAGGUCCCCACUCGAGUUGCGGAAGACUACAUCAAGGAGCAUGUUGAUCCCAUCUUCAAAUCAAAAGGGAACAUUAGAGUCACAACUUACUUCCCUUCUGUGAAUUUGAGGAAAACUAAUCUGGACGGUGAAGCCGAUCCUGUUUCUUGUUUGGCAAUGUUUGGUUCCUUGGAGUUGCAAGGAGGAGUGAGUGACGUGGUGGAGUCGAUGGUUCAGCGGCUGAAGAAAUCCGGCGGUGGUGGACGUUUCAUAGCCAUAGACUUGAGGGUUGAGAUACUUGAGAAGAAGAAUUGCCAUGAAACAGGAGGUGCAGUGGGGUCCAAGACUUGUUACAACGCACAAGAGAUCGCCUUGUUCUUGAGGAAGCUUGGGUUUGGGAGUGAUACAACUAUAUAUCUGACUCAGUCUAGAUGGGAGAGCAGUCUUAAUAUUCUUAAGGACAUUUUCCCCAAAACGUUUACUAAGGAGGCGAUAAUGCCAGCGAGCAAGAAAUCGAAGUAUCUUGAGUUAGAAAACUCAGAGUAUGAAAAUGUGAUUGACUUCUACAUAAGUUCGAGGAGUGAUGUGUUUGUGCCAGCUAUCCCUGGUCUGUUUUACGCUAAUACAGUUGGGAAAAGGAUAGCUUUGGGGAAGCCUCAAGUCCUUGUCCCUGCUGAGAUCUCAGGAACGUCUGGUCUCUCUACUGAUUACAUCUCUCCUUAUAUCUCAAAGAAGAACCACUUGGCGUAUUCAUGCUUUUGCUGAAAGGAAAAACGAGUGAUCUUGAAGAUGAGAAAGUCCAUGAAAGGGUUUAGCUCUAUACCGACUUGUAUUUUAGUUCAAGUAUUGUUAUCAUUGGGGUUGUCUUUGUUUAGGAAAGAAAAACUUUUGUAAGAUAACAGUUUGAAUCUAUUUGGCUCAUAGCUUUUAUCUUCUACUCA